rnacentral:misc_RNA from 1 species
GGUCGGGUCACGAGAGCACUGGCCUCCGCCGAGGCGGGCCGUUAGUUUUGAGUGAGGGGUGCACAUGUGGCGGGCCGAACGCCGUGUGCCACCGUGUGUGCAGUGACCCGAACUGUGAAGCGGUGAACUCCAAAGCGAAUUAUAACCUAUAAGUUAAACAUUUUGUUUUACUUUUUAGUCCCUUUGAACUUCACUAGAAAGCGAUACAAAAAGUAGAAAACACAGCCGCCUGAGCCAACAAUACCUACAAUGUCAACGCCCAGGCCUCAGUGGUUCUUGUUCUGCCGUCGAAAAGAACGAGAGCUCCUCUGGCAGGGGCCAGAAGCGGUCUCCUCAUCAUCGACACCUGCUAUCUUCACACGCGCACCUCUCAAAGGAAGCAUUGUGUCGGCACCGGCGGCGGCGGGCCGCCCCUCAGCCCUCUCCGGCCCAGUCUGUUCCGCCCCCGGCCCGACAAGGCUGCCAGGACAAAAGGUGGCGCCACUGAGACGAAUGCGGCACGUUUUCGGCGAGUGUGAUCAAUCCGACGCGUCGACAUUGUCAGAUCUUUCUGUCGCGGACGAUGAAAGAGACCGGUCCUGGAGGGACAGUGUGAUCAAAGGAAUUUGAGGAAGGUGGCCAGAGUGGGUUUUGAACCUGCGGUUUUGAACUGCAAAUCAUUGUUGGGAGACGCUCUAGGUCUUUGGAAUAGUGAGGCUAGUUUCACUUUCAGAUAAAGUUUUAUUGAUAAGAGAGUGUCGUCACGAUUGACAAGAGUUGGUUCCUAAAACUGGUGCAACUUUCGAUGCUUUAAAACUUCUGAACGAGCUUUGCUUCAACUCGGUGACAAUCGACGCUCCUGUCGUGUACCUAUUGAUCAGUACAUAUGACGCAUUAACCCUC